rnacentral:rRNA from 1 species
UACGUAGGGGGCUAGCGUUGUCCGGAUUUAUUGGGCGUAAAGAGCGUGUAGGAGGCCAUGUAGGUCCGGUGUGAAAACUCGAGGCUUAACCUCGAGAUGUCAUCGGAAACCAUUUGGCUAGAGUCCGGAAGAGGAGAGUGGAAUUCCUGGUGUAGCGGUGAAAUGCGCAGAUAUCAGGAAGAACACCAAUGGCGAAAGCAGCUCUCUGGGACGGUACUGACGCUGAGACGCGAAAGCGUGGGGAGCGAACAGG